rfam:Stomoxys calcitrans breed 8C7A2A5H3J4 unplaced genomic scaffold Scaffold199, whole genome shotgun sequence.
GUCAGGAUGGCCGAGCGGUCUAAGGCGCCAGACUCAAGUGUAACAACUUGUUCUGUUAAAACAGAAUUAGUAGAAAGUAUGAGCGUUCUGGUCCUCUCUGAGGGCGUGGGUUCAAAUCCCACUUCUGACA